CAAACAAGUCUGUAAGAGAUUGUGUAAAGGAUUUCUAAUAAAAGAUAUACGAGUUCUUGGAAUUACUUUGUGCCUUGUGUUUUCGUUGUAUCUCGAUUUUACAAUUGGUAUCAAAGCAGGACACCUAUACGAAGGAGGGGUCUUCGAACCAAGGUGAGAUCCUGAGAAGAGAAUAUGGCGAUUUUGGCACACAAUAUUUUGCUGC
rnacentral:lncRNA from 1 species